ACAGAAGGUCCGCCACUCCAGAGCAGUGUAAAACAGAAGGUCCUCCACACCAGGGCAGUGUAAAACAGAAGGUCCUCCACACCAGGGAAGUUUAAAACAGAAGGUCAUCCACACCAGGGCAGUGUAAAACAGAAGAUCCUCCACAUCAGAGCAGUGUAAAACAGAAGGUCCUCCACACCAGGGCAGUGUAAAACAGAAGAUCCUCCACAUCAGAGCAGUGUAAAACAGAAGGUCCUCCACACCACAGCAGUGUAAAACAGAAGGUCAUCCACACCAGGGCAGUGUACAAAUCGCAAACUGGCGGAGUAGAGGCAGAGGAGAUAUAGCCGACCAAGAUUGUAGCUGUGACUGUUGAUAAUGCUGGCAAUCUGGAUGUUGCCAUCAAGAGGCUACACAUCCUAAAAAUAAUAAUUGAAUAAUUGAAUCUGGCAGCACAGAAAAUCUACAAAAUGACUUCCAUUGAUAAAUGGGCAGCCCGAAUCAGAGCAGUGGGCGUGUGGUUCAAGACAUCCUUGAUGUCCAAAACAGUCUAGAAGGAAAAGCAGCAGCUCCUUGGCCUUCUGCAACAUUCACUCAUCCUUGAUGUCAAGACCAGAUGGAACUCACUAUCUAAUGAGUGACUCAUGGAGCAGUAUUCAGAGAACCAAGCAGCAGGCCUGAUGUCAAGACCAAAUGGAACUCACUAAUCUAAUGAGAGAUUCAUGGAGCAGUAUUCAGAGAACCAAGCAGCAGCCUUGGACCCACGACUGCGAACAGCAAUGACCAAGGACAACCUGGACCGUCUGAAGGACGAGGACUUCCAUAAGGUGAAUGACAUACCCUGGAGUCAAUUUGACCCUGACGGCCAGGAGGAAAAUGAGGAUAUACCGUGGGGACUCAGUGUCAACAUGUGACAUGUACCUGGAGACAAUUCACCUGUGUUCACCUGCACUUACUGUGUUCAAGCUGGUGCCAAACAACAACUUCACAUUUCCUGUUACUUUUUAAAGAAUGUACCUGGAAAAAUUUCAUGGAAUAUUUUGUAAAACGGUAUAUCUUGACAUACUACUACUGCAUAUAACAUGCUUUUGAAAUUCUGUAAAUGUUUAUGAACUUUUGACAAUUCAAUGCCUUAUUGAAAGCACAAGUGGUUCUUUCCUUUUAUUAUGUUCAAGUGUUUGUGUCUCUUAGAGAGAGAGAGAGAGAGAGAGAGAACUAGAGCA